rnacentral:tRNA from 1 species
ACUAGAGUGGUGCAUUGGAAGCGUGGUGGGCCUAUAACCCACAGGUUCUAUGAUCGAAACUUGGCUCUGAUA